rnacentral:rRNA from 1 species
UAGAGUUUGAUCAUGGCUCAGGAUGAACGCUAGCGACAGGCCUAACACAUGCAAGUCGAGGGGCAGCACGGUGUAGCAAUACACGGGUGGCGACCGGCGCACGGGUGAGUAACGCGUAUGCAACCUGCCUACUACAAGGGGAUAACCCGUUGAAAGACGGACUAAUACCCUAUAACACAGGGGAUCCGCAUGGAUAUAUUUGUUAAAGAUUUAUCGGUAGUAGAUGGGCAUGCGUUCCAUUAGCUUGUUGGUGAGGUAACGGCUCACCAAGGCAACGAUGAAUAGGGGAACUGAGAGGUUGAUCCCCCACACUGGAACUGAGACACGGUCCAGACUCCUACGGGAGGCAGCAGUGAGGAAUAUUGGUCAAUGGACGAGAGUCUGAACCAGCCAAGUCGCGUGAAGGAAGACGGCCCUACGGGUUGUAAACUUCUUUUGUAAGGGAAUAAAUAGUCUUACGCGCUAAGACGUUGCAGGUACCUUACGAAUAAGGAUCGGCUAACUCCGUGCCAGCCGCCGCGGUAAUUCA